UGUGGCAGAAUAGUGCAAUAAACUUAAGAUUUAUUUAUAAAGUAAGCCUUUCUUUAGAA
rnacentral:tRNA from 1 species